GGGGCCUGGCCGGGAGCGGACCCUGCCCCGCCGCCCUCGCGCUUGGGCCGCGCUGCAGCCGCUUCGGGUUUGGGGUAAACCCGCUCUCCCCGCGGUGUCCCCCAGCCCGCGCCGUUCCUCUCGGCUCCGGCUGCGCCUCAUCCCAUCCUGUGGCUGUGCUUAUGUCAUGACAGUGCCUGGCCCCUGGUGAUUUAUUCCAGUCUUGGCACCGAGUCCAAAGUGCUGGAACCCAUCCCCCAAAUUCUGGGACCAGCUGCCUGGGAAGGCCUGUUCCUGGAGAAGCCAGGCUGUUACCCAGGGACAUUGCUGCUGUACAGGGGCA